CUGAGUUCUUCUGUACCAAGAACUUUAAUUAUUUUCAUCACUGUUUCUUCAACUAUUCUUUGGCCUGAUUUGCUCUGUUUUCUUGGGUUCUUGGCCUCAGAACUGAAGCCCCAGGAGAGGAAACAGGCUCCACCACUGACCCUCUCCUCACCCAGAGCUGACGGUGGCCCACGGAGGUCGUAGCUUAAGACAGUUUUCUUGGUAUCCGUGUUUAUCCGAAUUCAAUUUUAACGCUCAGCACUUUGAAGAUGAGGUUAUUUCGAUAUUCAUGAAAUUGUGGGAUUAGUCAAAGAAAGAAGGCUGUAAGCGGCGGCUGUUGGAGCGAGUGAACCCCAACACACAGGGGACGGUCUGAGGAAAGGGAAGAAGAAAACUGAGCUUCGAUUAACAAAUGCAGAAUUGCAGGAAAAAACCCAUGCUUUCUGAAAAGAUGAAGACAAACCCCAUCAUCAAGGCAGAAGCCAUUUUAAAAGAGGCGUUUGGGAUCCGGGCUUCCGUCUGGAGAGGAAGAUAUACCUUGAGCACCGUGCCUGUAUCUAACGAGCUUAUAGUAAAGGCUGUGUGUGACCCUCUGAACUCCCUCGUCAACUUUAGAAGAAUUCGUUAAUUUUCACUGAAUGUCUCGGAUUCAGCACAACGCAUUUGCCGAUCCCUGCUGCCCUCCAGGGAUUAGGUAGCUGAUUCCCGGUGUUAUUUAUGGCUUUUCUCUCUAACUAUCUCUCUCUGUCUCUGUCUCUCUUUUGCCUGCCUUGGGGAAGAAGGAGCCAUGCAGCCCCUUCCAUGGAUGGUGGCCCCGAGACACCUGGGAGAGCCCAGACCCACUGGGUGGACGCGGACUCUCGGCAGCCCUGUCCCCACGCAGACUCUUUUAUUGGCUGCAGAAGAGGUACCCCUUAGAGAGUGAGCUCAGCCGCUGUCAUGGGCAGACGUGAAGAGGUAUGACUUCUUUGGAGAGCAGCUUGGCCCAUGCAAACAGCAUUUAAAAUGCACUUAUGCUUGGGCCCAGACGUUCCAGGGCUUGGGAUUUAACCUGAUUUAACCUUUUUGAGCAUGCUUGCUCAAAAAGUCAAAAGCAUGUGUGAAGAUUUUUUAUUGGAACAGCCUUUGUAGGAACAAAAGUCUAGAAACAACCUAACCUACACGUCUACCAUGAAGGGACUGAUUAAAUGAAGGCGGGUGUAUGGGUCCAGGGCAUGUGGUGCCGUUAUUCAGACAGACGAAUCGCACUGACUUACAUUUACUGAAAUAUCGUCCAAAUAGUGAUACAUCUUCAAACCAUAUUCAGGAACUAAGAAGUGAAGAAAGGCAGAAUGGUAUUUGUGUCCUGUUACUUCUUCUUUUUUUUUUUUUUUUUAAGACUUUAUUUAUUUGACGGAGAGAGAGAGAUCACAAGUAGGCAGAGCAGCAGGCAGAGAGAGAAGGGGGAGCAGGCUCCCCACUGAGCAGAGAGCCCGAUGCAGGGCUCAGUCUCAGGACCCUGAGGUCAAGGCAGCUGACCCGAGCUGAAGGCAGAGGCUUAACCUACUGAGCCACCCAGGUGCCCCUGUCCUGUUACUUCUUGUAUAGAAAGUAAGGACCCAUUAAUUAUGUGGAUACAUGUUUGUGUGGGUGCUUGGACGGCACAGAAAAAUCUGGAAAAAUGAACACGAGAGUGGCAGCUGUUAUCCUCAGGAAAUGGAGCCCAGGGGAAGGGGUGGCGUGUACCCUUCCUCCUCAUCUGUUGCUCCUCUGUAUUGUUUGUCUUCUCUUUGUAUCCCGGAAGCACAUUCUUUGUAAAACAAAGUGGGUUCACUGGGCUGCGUUAUUCCACAGUGUCAGUGUCUGGAGCCUCCCCGAGGCUCUUAGGGUCUGGGUUCCUGACUCCUGCCUCCCUGGACCUGACCGCAGCUUCAGGGCUGACUUGGAGGCUGCCGGUCCUAAAGAGCAGGGGAAGGCCGGGCCUCUCUGGGCUUGGAGGCAAGGCCCUGCCUCACCUCCGGGUACUUGCUCCACACCCGCCUUUCACUCUGCCCCCACUUGGCCUCUGUGCAGGGUGACAGCUGCUACCUCGCCACAGGACAGACGCCUAAUGGGCCUGGGAAGUCGCUUUCCAGCUCUCUGAGGCUGGCUCCUUGGAACAGGCGGAGAGAGCGACAUGAUGGAUGCCUCAUCGGCCACCUCCCCAGGAGGACGCAGCGCUAACUUCAUUGCUUAUUGACUCAAGGCCCUGCCGCAAUAUGGUGUGAGGGACACGGGGAUUUGCUGACUCUUCCAAGGUCACGGGGAUUGUCACUGGCAUGCCUGGGACGCUCCGAGCUGCCUUCCGACUUUACGCCUCGAGUUUGUGCUACAGAUCCUUUACAUUUAACGCUGAGUUAGACGCUGGAAAGUUAGGGCUUUGCAAACCUGAAGUUCUCAAAGCCAGGAGGGCACAGUGCUGGGCAACACGAAUGUUCUAAUUAGACCAUUAGCUGCCUAAUGACCACAUCAAGAAAGAAGGGAGGGGGCGGGGCCCACACAGCGUUCUAACUGCAUGGCAAUUGCUGCAAGCAUUUUUAAGAAUUUCUUCUGCCCUAAUUUUUUUUCAAACCCGCAGCACAGAUGCAGUGUCUGUCAGAGGUAUUCCUGGCUCCGUAGCAAUUUGCAGCCGGCAGGAUGGAGCCGGUGCCGGCAGGAUGGAGCUGGUGCCUCUCAGAUGGGCCAUGUCCUGACCAGCACAGGAGGUAGAGGGCUGGCUUCUAGUUGGGGGUCAUGUAGGAGCCUGUCCUUCACGGGGGUGCUGCUCGCCAGCCCCGUGGAGGAGGGGAGACCAUGUGUCACUCAACAGCCAGAGCUGCAGUGACACCUUUUUAUGGGCAGAGCCCAAGAAUCCCAGCCUUGUUAAGAAGGGCCCUUUUGACAAACUACAAGUCAAGGUUAACAAGUCAGCUACAGCCUUGACUGUGUUUUUCUAUGUAAGAUGCGUAGAAUCGGCCGUUCUGCAUGCUUUCUCUGUUAAGCACAUUUCUUUGUUUUCCCUUCAUUAAAUAAAGAAGCCAAGCU